rnacentral:rRNA from 1 species
AGAGUUUGAUCCUGGCUCAGGAUGAACGCUGGCGGUAUGCCUAACACAUGCAAGUCGUACGAGAGUUUUUAACUCAAGUGGCGGACGGGUGAGUAACACGUGAGAAUUUGCCUUUAGGAGGGGGACAACAACUGGAAACGGUUGCUAAUACCCCAUAUGCUUUCGAGUGAAAUGAAUUUAUUCGCCUAAAGAGAAGCUCGCGGCUGAUUAGCUUGUUGGUAGGGUAAGAGCCUACCAAGGCGACGAUCAGUAUCUGGUUUGAGAGGACGAUCAGACACACUGGAACUGAGACACGGUCCAGACUCCUACGGGAGGCAGCAGUGGGGAAUUUUCCGCAAUGGGCGAAAGCCUGACGGAGCAAUACCGCGUGAGGGAAGACGGCCUAUGGGUUGUAAACCUCUUUUUUCAGGGAGGAAUAAAUGACGUGUACCUGAAGAAUAAGCAUCGGCUAACUCCGUGCCAGCAGCCGCGGUAAGACGGAGGAUGCAAGUGUUAUCCGGAAUCACUGGGCGUAAAGCGUCUGUAGGUGGUUAAGCAAGUCAACUGUUAAAUCUUGAGGCUCAACUUCAAAAUCGCAGUCGAAACUGUUUGACUAGAGUAUAGUAGGGGUAAAGGGAAUUUCCAGUGGAGCGGUGAAAUGCGUAGAUAUUGGAAAGAACACCGAUGGCGAAGGCACUUUACUGGGCUAUUACUGACACUCAGAGACGAAAGCUAGGGUAGCAAAUGGGAUUAGAUACCCCAGUAGUCCUAGCCGUAAACAAUGGAUACUAGAUGUUGAACAGAUCGACCUGUGCAGUAUCAAAGCUAACGCGUUAAGUAUCCCGCCUGGGAAGUAUGCUCGCAAGGGUGAAACUCAAAGGAAUUGACGGGGGCCCGCACAAGCGGUGGAGCAUGU